UAUUGGUCAAUGGGCGCGAGCCUGAACCAGCCAAGUAGCGUGAAGGAUGACGGCCCUAUGGGUUGUAAACUUCUUUUAUAUGGGAAUAAAGUUUUCCACGUGUGGAAUUUUGUAUGUACCACAUGAACAAGGCUCGGCUAACUCCGUGCCAGCAGCCGCGGUAAUACGGAGGAUCCGAGCGUUAUCCGGAUUUAUUGGGUUUAAAGGGAGCGUAGGUGGAUUGUUAAGUCAGUUGUGAAAGGUUGCGGCUCAACCGUAAAAUGGCAGUUGGAACUGGCAGUCUUGAGUACAGUAGAGGUGGGCGGAAUUCGUGGUGUAGCGGUGAAAUGCUUAGAUAUCACGAAGAACUCCGAUUGCGAAGGCAGCUCACUGGACUGUUAACUGACACUGAGGCUCGAAAGUGUGGGUAUCAAACA
rnacentral:rRNA from 1 species